rnacentral:misc_RNA from 1 species
CGUCAUCAAUCCGAUCUUUUCUGCUCACCCCCUGGCGACGCGACAAAGACCUAGACAGCCUCUCGUGAAGGCUUCAGGCAUUCCCAGCAGCAUCGAAGGCAUUAGGCUUCGCUGCCCCCCUCCACAUUCAUUAGCCGCUUCUGACGCCUGUCGCUCCUCAUCAACGCCCUCUCAGCAACGUCAGGAGGCAAUCGAGAGUACAGAUAUAAGUGGAUCACUCGGGCCUCUCCUUCCUCCUUCUCCCUCUUCCUGUGCUUGAUGAUGCCCGUGCUGCUGCGCCGGGGCGUUAUGCAGCGCCCGCGAGCCGCUCUCCUCGUUGUGGCGCUAACCCUAUGCCUGCUCCUGUCUCCCGUGCGUGGCGCGGAAUCACCGUUCACCCACUACAGCGCCGUGCAGAAGGCAAACACGCGCAAGUUUCUGCAGGCCUUCGUGGACGCGAACCCGCUGCUUGAGAAGCUGCCGUCGGUGGACUUCUGCGAGUGGGUCUACUCUGAGUGCACGAGCAAGGGCGUGGAUCUGUACCUGGACGAGAGAGCCGUGGUGCAGCUGCCGGAGAUGUCCUCUGGCAUUGUUGGCAAAUAUGUUCUGGUCACUUCCAUCAAUCUCAGCUACGGCAAGAACACAUUGAAGGGCACGCUGCCGGCGAGCUGGGGGAGCCUGACGCACCUCGAGUACAUCUCCAUGUACUCGAACUCGCUGACGGGCACCCUGCCGCCGGAGUGGGCCAAUAUGAAGUCGGCGAAGUGGUUCCUGCUGUACCGCAACGAGCUGACGGGCACCAUUCCUGAGGCGUGGAGCCGUCUGCGCUACAUGACGUGGGCGUGCCUGAACGACAACAAUCUGACCGGAACACUCCCCUCGUCGUGGGGCAGCGCUCCGCAGCUGACGAUUGUUGAGGCCAGGAGAAAUCAGCUGACCGGCACAUUGCCGCCGACCUGGGGGAGCCUGCGGAAACUCAGCUCCAUCACGCUGACGGACAACAAUCUGACCGGGCCCCUUCCAGAGGAGUGGGCGUCUGCCCAGACGCUGUACGGUGUGUCCGUGGAGCGCAACAAUUUGUGCGGCUGUGUCCCGAAAUCGUGGGUGUCUCACAAUUUUUUCUAUGGCAUGCGAGUCGAUGACAGCCUCUUGGCCGCGGAUUGUUCGACAGCCAACGCGUGCAAGUGAGGCGUGGGGCAUCGCAGACCAUCGCUGAUGGACAAGGGAAGCGGUGCUGUUGUUCUGAAUGCGCGCAUGGGACUUGCGAUUGUUUGAUGUGUUUUCCCGCGCGUCGCGCGCUGGCGUCCUGCCGCUGGCACACUGUCACGGAGCAAGGCAGAGAGGGAAACGGGAGGUGCAGGGGGCGAAGAUGGAAUGCGGUCUGAUGGCGAGGAAGUUGUGCACAGGCACAGGGACUGAGGCGCUCACUGAUGCCGACGUUUGUGGGCCGCUCUUGCCACCUCGGCUGCCUUUUUGCACUUCUCUGUUGUAUCCGUCUCUGUCUGUCUCCCUCUGUGCUUCUUUCAGUGUGCACUUCCGCUGAUGCACGUGCGCGUCGGGUCUGUCUCAGCGGUGUAUCCAUGGAAGAGCCUGGGCGGCGGUACACACUCUUCCUUCGCCUUAUCAGCCUAAGGGUUUGUUUUAUGUUUUUCUUUCUCACCCCCUUCGUUUUGCUCAUGGGGCAUCUCUUGCGUGCUUUAUACUCUCCCAUUUUCUCUUGCUCUCAUACUCCCCGCAGAUGGCCGCAUGCGCCACGCCGAGUGACGGGCGGAGCAGGAUGUAUUAGCCUGCGUUUUGUACGUGUCUCUCCUUCCCGGUUUUGACCACUACUCCGCUGUACCUCUCCCGCAUGUGCCCCCCGAAUCCUGUAUUUGCAUGCACCGGCGCUUCUCGGCUCUGCUGUCGUUUCCCAUAGGCUUCUCCUCUCCUCCCCCUCCCCCUCACCCCUCUCCCUCUUCCGUGUGCCUCUAUGCGUGCGCGCGAGCGUGCUGUGCUCGUACGAGUGCAGAAGAAUACCGAAUCCAGUGCGCCAAACGAGAGGCAGCGGGGUGGGUGGAUUGAAACAGAAAGCCACCAAAAAAAAUCUAAACAACAACUAAGUUAAAACGAAGGAAGGGAAGUGCGGCGGCGCGCCACACAAGUCGGCGAGGGCAUGGACCUGCGCGACGGCGGGGAGGAAGGAGGGGGAAAACAAAACAAAGCACGGCAAACAACGAGCACACAAGAAACGAUGAUACGUGGAAACGGGCAAAACGUAAAAGGGGAAGGAUGAUGCCGAGCGCGCUUGUCGUCUCUGGAUCCUGACAACUGUGUUGGAUCAUCUCUCUCCUACCUCCCAUGUAUGCUGGGUGCGCAUGGCUGUGCGUCUCUCUCUUCAAGUGCGCGCGAGAGGCACUGCAACUCCCUCUUUUCCUUCUAAACGGCUGUUCACGGUUUCGUACUGCUCAUUCGUGCCUCUCCGACGAGUCUGUGCCCCUCUUUCUUGUCCUUUGCCGUCACCUGCUCGCUCGCUUUUCUUGUGUUGUUCGUCACCCUCGUUCCCCCCGUCUGGAGUCCCUACCUGAAAGCGCUCAUUGCUCUCAGGCCGUUUCGUUCUACUUGUGUGUGCGUGUGUGUCUGGGCCAUGCCACUGGUGCGCCUGCAUGUAUGCACACUUCCUCCCUCCCUUCCGCCCUCCCUCUCCCUGUCUUUUUUUUUUGUGUCUUUAUUUGUUCAUGUUAUUUUUUUCUGUUUUAUUUUGUGCCAUGUCCGUCUUCGUAUAUCCGCUCGCUGCUUUCUCGUUUGUUUGUCUACUCAUUGCUCCCGGUUUCUUGUCACCUUGCCGCCCUCCCUCCCCCUCCCUCUUCGCCAACCUUCGUGGGCAGAAACGGAGGACCCAACGACACAGAAAAGACGCGAGAGGUCCCCCUCCACCCUCCAAAAAAAAAAAGAAACAUGAAGCGGCGCUUCACCAGACGCAUGCCAUUCUGAUUUUUUUUUUGGUUUCGCAAACAGACAUGAGAUCGCAUGCGUGAAGAACGUCUCGACGAGCAAAGCAGAGCAGAAAAGGGGAGGGGUGCAGGGCAUCAGUGCAGCAGCGGUAUGCCACCUACGCUAGCAAGCACAUGCUGCCUCACACUCUCUAAGUGUGGUGCGAGGAUGUUGCCUGACUCUCUCUCUGCCCGUCUCUGCCUCGAGUAUUGCCAAGUUCUUUUAGUGCUAGCCUAGAAGGAUAGAGCACCCCUUCUUUUCCUCCCCUUGUCUCUCUCUCUAAGUAUUGAUCUUCGUCCGUUCUGCUGCCUUCUUAUUAUGUUUAUUUUUUUGUUAAAGGCUUGCGUGAUCUCUCUUCCCUGAAUUGGGCUCAUGGUUGGGCGUGUGCAUUCCUCUCCCUCUCCCUCUCUUUUUUUUCGCUUAUCACCUUUUUUCCGUUAACCACUUCUCCCGCUGUCUUCCCUCCCUCCUUCUCCCUCUUUGUUGGCUUUUUCGUUUGUUUUGUGUGCGCGUGUGUGCGUGUGUGUUUUCCCUUUUCACGUGUUCGUGCUCAUCACAUCACGUGCUCCUGUCCUUUCUUUCAUGCGCCCUGAAAAAGAAAAGUCUGCAAGCGGAAGUGCGCCUUUUCCCUCCCUCUCUCCUUCUCUUCUUUUACUGUCGCACUGGCGGUCUCUCGUGGUGCAAGCGAGGGGGUGCGACGAAGAAAGCGAAGUGAGGAGGGGUUGAUGGUUGAAGGGGUGAGGGGACAGCCUGCAGGGGGGGGGGAGACGAACGAAAGGGAGGUGAAACAUUGGAACAGAGGAGGCAGGGACGCUGCACAAGCACGAUGAGGGGGGAUGAGGCCGAGAUCUCUCCGCCUUGUGCGUUGAAAUGCAUGCGGCCGACGAGACCAGUUCUUUGCCUUUUUCCCCUCUCUUUUCGACGUACCAUCGUUUGUUGUGCGCACUGCGAGCGCACGAUGGCUUGUGCUGAGGUGCGCCCCAGCUCUCGUGUUUGGUAAGUGCGCAUGUGUAUAUGUGUCUGUCAGGACCGUAGGGUUGGAGAGGAGGCGCCCCUCACGUCUCAGUGGCGUGCGUAUCUCGUACCUUCAUUCUCCUUUGCAUCCCCCCUACACUUAUACGCGGCAACUGUGCUCAGUUGCCGAGGAACGCGGAGCUAAUGAUCCUUGGGCUCACACGUGCACACUUGCACAUGGACAUUUUCAGGUAGUGCCCUCGUUACACCCGGCAGUUCAGCUAGGUGGCUCACUAAUGGACACAGUUUUUUCUGAAGCCCCACGCCCCACCCGCCCGGCUCCUUUGGACCACAGGAGAGGGAAAACGAAAACAGCGAAGAUGCCUCCCCGUCCCCACGCUUCUUUCUCCCCGCUGCUUCCACAACACCUCCGCCCCUUUCGGCGUCUUCGCCCUUCGCUGCGGUGCACUCGUUACGAUGCGCUCCUUCUGUCGCUCUUAUUGUUUCUCUUGCUCGCACAUGCCUUUUUCCGGGUACGCUUUAUGGGCUUGCGUUUACUGUGUGCUCCUCUCUGCCCCCCUCCUUCCCACCCCUUGUAAAUAUAUAUAUAUAUUUGGUGUGCUUUCGGUUUGUGUCUUCGAUAG